UUGGGGCAACUUACUUAACAUCUUUGAGUCUGAGUUUUCUCAUAGGUAAAGUGGAGAGAUUAAUAGUGCUUACCUGAUAUGGAUGCUGCAUACGUUAAAUGAGAUAAGAAUAUGGCAUAGCUAACACAUGCCUGGCACAUAGUGGGUGUUGUCAUAACAUGCAGGACACUGUAUUAGAAUUACUGUACAUGUUCACAAUCCCAGCCAGACUGAAAACUCCAUCAGAGCAGAAACUAUGUCUGUCUUGGUGUAAUCCCAACUCUCAGUUUACUGCGUACUGUAUCAUAGGUGUUUAUAUUUUUGUGAAUUAAUGAAUAAACAAAAGAUCAAAAAUUGAUAAUUAUUACUAACAUUCCCCUCAACUUGAGUGGCACACCAGCAGAUCACUCAGACUAGCUGAGUCAUUUCGGCAAUACCCUGUUGCCUAAAUGCAUUCAAACUUGCUCAUUCAGAGAUGCAGGUACCAGCUGCUUCCAGGCUUCCUACCUUUGACAUGUUUAGUUCAGGUUUAGGAAUUUGGAAAGGCAUUUCUUCAUAAUCUGGCAUUGACUGGAGCUUACAGAAAAUUCUCAGUCUGAAGUUUAAAAACCAAUAUCUGAAGAAGAACUAGAAAGGGCAAGUGUUAAAAUAAUCUGGUUAGAAAAACAAAGUUUCUUCUAACUUAGUUCUUAAAAUUCAAAACCCGAUGUGAACCCCUUAUGAGUUCAAUAAUUACCAAGGAAACUGAGGCUUUUAAUGUUCCUGUUCCAUUAUAGAUAAUUUCCUUCUCAUAGGAGACCUCUAACAGCAGUCAAGAUGGAAAUAAAAAUAUUCUGAGGAGAGAGAGUGGAAGAAAUAAAAAAGGAACAUAAUAUGGAGGAAAGAUAGAUCCCUAGGAGAUGGAGAGUUUUGUGUACAAGUUUUCUCUACACAAAGAUUGGAUUUGCCUUUGUGUCUCCAGGGCCCAGCACAGAGCUUGGACAUGUGAGCUGCUCCACCCAUAUUCGUUGGGUGAAAGGUGCCUAUGAGAUGGUGUGGCAGAGAAGGAAAAUGAGCUGGAGUGGAAGAAACCAGAGCCAGGGAAGCCAACAUGCCAGAGUCCAUUGCCUGGCUAAGGAGCAGAAAAAGGAAGACAAAUGCUUUGAAGGAAAGAGGGAAGGACAAAAAGCUGGACUGCAAAGUUCUACUUUCAUUUUUUGUUGUUUUUGUUUCUUUAUUUAAGAAAAGCAACAAGGGGUCCAGGCACAGUGGCUCACACCUGUAAUCCCAGCACCUUGGGAGGCUGAGGGGGGCAGAUCACCUGAGGCCAGGAGUUCGAGACCAGCCUGGCCAACACGGUGAAACCCCAUCAGUACUGAAAAUACAAAGAUUAGCCAGGUGUGGUGGUGCACACCUGUAGUCUCAGCUACUCAGGAGGCUGAGGCAGGAGAAUCACUUGAACCCAGAAGGUGGAGGUUGCAGUGCGCCAAGAUCACGCCACUGCACUCCAGCCUGGGCAACAGAGCAAAAAAAAAAAAAAAAAAGAAAAAAA
rnacentral:lncRNA from 1 species